UACGUAGGGUGCAAGCGUUAAUCGGAAUUACUGGGCGUAAAGCGUGCGCAGGCGGUUAUGCAAGACAGAUGUGAAAUCCCCGGGCUCAACCUGGGAACUGCAUUUGUGACUGCAUGGCUAGAGUACGGUAGAGGGGGAUGGAAUUCCGCGUGUAGCAGUGAAAUGCGUAGAUAUGCGGAGGAACACCGAUGGCGAAGGCAAUCCCCUGGACCUGUACUGACGCUCAUGCACGAAAGCGUGGG
rnacentral:rRNA from 1 species